AGAGUUUGAUCCUGGCUCAGGAUGAACGCUAGCGGCAGGCUUAACACAUGCAAGUCGAGGGGUAAGGUCUACUUCGGUGGAUACACGACCGGCGCACGGGUGAGUAACACGUUUGCAACCCACCUUUAACUGGGGGAUAGCUCUCGGAAACGAGAAUUAAUACCCCAUAAUAUCAUAGAAUCGCAUGGUUUUAUGAUUAAAGCUCCGGCGGUUAAAGAUGGGCAUGCGUACCAUUAGCUUGUUGGUAAGGUAACGGCUUACCAAGGCAACGAUGGAUAGGGGGUCUGAGAGGAUGAUCCCCCACACUGGUACUGAGACACGGACCAGACUCCUACGGGAGUCAGCAGUGAGGAAUAUUGGUCAAUGGGCGAAAGCCUGAACCAGCCAUGCCGCGUGCAGGAUGACAGCCCUACGGGUUGUAAACUGCUUUUAUACUCCAAGAAACUCCGAUACGUGUAUCGGACUGACGGUAGAGUAAGAAUAAGCACCGGCUAACUCCGUGCCAGCAGCCGCGGUAAUACGGAGGGUGCAAGCGUUAUCCGGAUUUAUUGGGUUUAAAGGGUGCGUAGGCGGAAUAAUAAGUCAGCGGUGAAAUCCUGCAGCUUAACUGUAGAAUUGCCAUUGAUACUGUUGUUCUUGAGUAUAGUUGAGGUGGGCGGAAUGUAUAAUGUAGCGGUGAAAUGCCUAGAUAUUAUACAGAACACCUAUUGCGAAGGCAGCUCACUAAACUAUAACUGACGCUGAUGCACGAAAGCGUGGGGAGCGAACAGGAUUAGAUACCCUGGUAGUCCACGCCGUAAACGAUGAUUACUCGUUGUGUGUGAUACACUAUACGCGACUGAGCGAAAGCAUUAAGUAAUCCACCUGGGGAGUACGAUCGCAAGGUUGAAACUCAAAGGAAUUGACGGGGGCCCGCACAAGCGGUGGAACAUGUGGUUUAAUUCGAUGAUACGCGAGGAACCUUACCUGGGCUUAAAUGUAGAACGACAGAUCCCGAAAGGGAUCCUUCUUCGGACGGACUAUAAGGUGCUGCAUGGUUGUCGUCAGCUCGUGCCGUGAGGUGUCGGGUUAAGUCCCAUAACGAGCGCAACCCCUAUCGUUAGUUGCCAGCGGAUAAUGCCGGGGACUCUAACGAAACUGCCGCUGUAAGGCGAGAGGAAGGUGGGGAUGACGUCAAAUCAGCACGGCCCUUAUGUCCAGGGCUACACACGUGUUACAAUGGUCGGUACAAAGGGCAGCUACCUGGCAACAGGAUGCUAAUCUUUAAAGCCGAUCCCUAGUUCGGAUUGGAGUCUGCAACUCGACUUCAUGAAGUUGGAAUCGCUAGUAAUCGCGUAUCAGCAAUGACGCGGUGAAUACGUUCCCGGGCCUUGUACACACCGCCCGUCAAGCCAUGGAAGCUGGGGGUACCUAAAGUCCGUAACCGUAAGGAUCGGCCUAGGGUAAAAACUAGUGACUGGGGCUAAGUCGAAACAAGGUA
rnacentral:rRNA from 1 species